UCGGUGGGCUAAGUAUCCAAGGAUAUGUUUGGUGUUUUUUCCCCACUGGUGCUGGUUGCAGGGAUGGUUUGGCAGUGUUCAGCAGUGUGAAUUGUGUGUAAUGGGAGUGCUUUGUUGCAGGUAUAUAUCGAAGGGGCAAUGGCAUUGGAGGUAAGGCAUUGAGAUAGGCCGCCUUAGAGCCACACCAUUAUCCCAAAGAUGGGCCAAGGAUAAAUUGAGGGAGCAACCAAGAGAUCUGCUUGCCUGGGAAAGGUCACAUAGGAGCUCAGGUAAGUGUGGCGUUGAGGAGCGGAGGCGUAUAGUGUGCUGGAUACUGUCAGUAUCCAAGUGUGUGUGAUGGUUUUCUUUCACUGGUGAUGGUUGCAGGGACUGUUUGGCCAUGUGCUUAUCAUAGUGAAUAGUGUGUAAUGGGUGUGCUUUGUCAUAGGUGUCUCUAAGAGGCGAUAGCAUUGGAGGUAAGGGUCUGAGAUGCUCCUCCUUGUUGGAGCAACCAGCCUUAAACCAAAGGCAAACGGAGGGAGCAACCAAGAGGGGGCAGCAUGACUGGAAAGGUUGGAUAGCAACUCUGGUAAGGUUGCCCUUUGCCAGGGAGGGAGCAUUGUCUGCUGUCCUGGGUUGGGUAAGUAUCCUGGGGGGAGGGGUGGUGCUGGUUGAAGGGACUGUUUGGCUGAGUGUUUAUCACUGAACUGUGUAGCAAGUGUGCUCUCUUGCAGGUGUACAUUCAAGGGGUGAUAAGUUUAGAGACCAGGCUCUGAGCUGGGCCGCCUUCUUAGAUCCUCCAGGAUUAUACCAAAUGCAGACAGAGGGGAAAUGGAGGGAACAGCAAACAAAGCACGUUGCUUGGGAAUGGUCUGAUGGGAGCUCAGCUGUAUAUUGAAGGGGCUACAGCAAUGGAGGCAAGACUUGGAACUGGUUCUCCUUGGAGCUUCCAGCCUUACACUAAACACCAGCCGAGGGGAAAUGGAAGGAGCAUCCAAGAGGGCAGCUUGCCUAGGAAAGGUCAGAUAGGAACUCAGGUAAGUGUGGCAUUGAGGUAUGUAGGGAUAGUGUAUUGUGCUGGGUACAGUAAGUAUCCAAGGGUCUGAGAUGGUUUCCUUUCACUGGUGUUGGUUGCAGAGGCAGAUGGGCUGAGAGUUGAUGAAUUGUAAGUAACGAGUCUUUUGUUGCAGCUGUAUAUAGAAUGGACAAUAGCAUUGGAGGCAAGGCUUUGAGAAGAGCACUGGGCCUCUCACAGCCUCCAGCCUUAUAGCAAAUGCACUCAGAGGGGAAAUGGAGGGAGCAAUCAACAAAGCCCCUUGCCUAGGAGAGGUAGGUUAGGAGCUCAGGUAAGUUUGGUCUUUGGGGGUGGGGGAAAGGUUGUUGGCUGUGCUGGCUGGGCUAAGCAUCCAAGUCUCUGAUAUGCUUUUCUUUCACGGGUGAUGUUGCAGGCAUGUUGAAAGUGUUGCUGUGUUCUCUGGCCAGGUUGAGAAGCUCUGCCGCCUCCUCCCUGCAUGGAACUCACGGCGCCUGUCCCCACAGCAGGGAUAGUAAGUAUCAUGACAGAGCCCACAGGGGAGCUCCCCUGGGAAAGGUGAGAUAGAGUUUAGGUAAGGGUAGCUGUGGUGGCUGGGCUAAGUAUCCAAAGCUCUGUGGUGGUUUUCUUUCACUGGUGAUGGCUGCAGGGAUGUUUAUCACUGUGAAUUGUGUACAAUGGGAAUGCUUUGUUGCAGGUAUAUACUGAAGGGGCAAUGGCAUUGGAAGCAAAGCCUGUGUGCUGGGUAUGUUAAGUAUCCAAGCGUCUCGGAGAUGGUUUUCUUCUACUGGUGAUGGUCGCAGGGAUGGUUGGGCUGUGUGUUUCACUGAAUUGUGUGUAACGGGUGUGCUUUGUUGCAGCUGUAUAUUGAAGGGGCAGAGGCAUUGGAGGCAAGCAUUUGAGAUGGGCCUUGUUCUUAGGACUACAACCUUAUGUGGAAGACAGGCUGAGGAGAAACUGAGGGGAGCCAACUGAAAGGGCAGUUUCCCUGAAAAGGUAGGAUAGUAGCUCAGGUAAGUGUGGUGUGGAUGGGCAGAGGGGUUGUAUACUGUGCUGGACACUGUCAUUGUUUAAAGGUCUCGGCUACAGUUUUCUUUCACAGGUGAUGGUUGAAGAGAGUUUGGUCAUGUUACACACUGUUCACUGUUGAAUGGGUGUGCUUCUUGCAGCUGUACGUUCAAGAGACAAUAGCAUUACAGGUGUAUAUAGAAGUGACGAUAGCGUUAGAUGCAAGGUUUUCAGCUUGGCCGAUGCCUGUGUACUAAAGACAGAGGGGAAACGGACAGAGCAGCACACAGGGAUCCUAACCUGGGAAACAUUUAAGAGUUCUUCAGC